CCUUGCUGUUCUCCGCACCCACCGCAAGCUCGGCCUCGCCACCAAGCUCAUGACCGCCGCCCAGAACGCUAUGGAGUCCGUCUUCGGCGCCGAGUACGUCUCCCUCCACGUCCGACGCAGCAACCGCGCCGCCUUUACCCUCUACACCUCCACUCUCGGCUACCGCAUCCACGACGUCGAGGCCAAGUACUACGCCGACGGAGAGGACGCCUAUGACAUGCGCAAGCAGCUCAAGGGCCGUCCCCAUGGCCACAGCCACGGCCACAGCCACGGCCACGGGCAAGCUCAUCACCACCACCACCAUCAUCAUCAUGGAGGCGGCUGUUGCUCUGGGGAGGUGAAGCCCCCAGCCGCUGCGGGUGCAUAUGCUUCCGCAUCUUCUGCUUCUGCUUCAGCAUCGGCUUCCGCUUCUGGAG
rnacentral:lncRNA from 1 species